GGGGGCGACCCGGUUUCGACUGGGAUAGUGAAGCCGUCGUGGCAGGCAGAGGUUGUCGGGAGGCCUCUUAAAACACCCGGCACAAUGACAACUGCCAACGAGCAGUUUGCUCUGGCCGCUUAAAGCGGUCACGUUCCUACCGUUCAGCCCGCGGGAUGGAUAGGAACGUACGAUAGCGGGCUGGCCCCGAACCCGGACCGCCGGGGGGAGGGGCGAGAAAUUUUCUGGCGGAUAGUCCCCGGUCAAUCCUGUCGGUUGGAGUCUCCGGGGGCGAAUUCAAAAGACCGACUAAGCCUGUAGAAGCGCGGAGGGAUCUAUUUCAGGACGGGGGUUCGACUCCCCCCGCCUCCAUUC
rnacentral:tmRNA from 1 species